GGCUUAAAAGCUCAUGAUACAUGGCCCCGUUCAUUCUUCCCUUAACACAGAUCAGUCACCCUGUCCCCUUAGCAGAAAAACAGCACCAAAGCAUGAUGUUUCCACCCCCAUGCUUCACAGUAGGUAUGGUGUUCUUGGAAUACAACUCAGCAUUCUUCUUCCUCCAAA